UAUAUGUCCAAAACUAGUGAAUUCCAUAACAAAUUAUUAAUCCCAUAUUCAUAUACUGCCACUGGAUUCAAAACCUCAAAAUGGCGAAAUUUUUGAAGUCGAUUUUAUUCAUCGUCGUCCUUGUUGCUCUUGCAUCAGAUUGUCUAGUUCAUGGAGAGGUGUGCAAGAAACAAUAUCCCAUUCAAUGCUACUCAAAGGAACCUCAAUUUUGUGACCGGGAAUGCAUGAAAGUAGUUAAUCCAAAAAAUCUACAAAAGAGCCAUUGCAAUGCAGAUGAUAAAACCAAUAUUCAUUGUGUUUGUGCAUAUGUUUGCCCUAAUAAGUAUGGUGAUGACGGACCCAGCUCAUAAGAAGGUGGUACAACUAUACCCCAAAUAAAUCGCUUCUUAAUGUAAUAUUGAGUUAUAAUUUACAUAAUAUAUGUUUUUUCUAUUUUAGAUAUUAGUGAGUUACAAUUUAUUUUAUUUAUAAUUAAUUUCGGUAAGAAAUCGAAAAUGUAAUUCACCAUCGUUAUUUAUUUUUUAGACUAUUAGAGAGUUUACAUUUUUUUACUAUUUGUAUGUAAUAUGUAUUUUUAUUUUAAUUGUGCUAUUAAAAUAUUACUUUGAAUUUUA